UGCAGUCGACGAACUCUGGUAUUGAUUGGUGCUUGCAUCAUGAUUUACAUUUGAGUGAGUGGCGAACUGGUGAGUAACACGUGGGAAACCUGCCCAGAAGCGGGGGAUAACACCUGGAAACAGAUGCUAAUACCGCAUAACAACUUGGACCGCAUGGUCCGAGUUUGAAAGAUGGCUUCGGCUAUCACUUUUGGAUGGUCCCGCGGCGUAUUAGCUAGAUGGUGGGGUAACGGCUCACCAUGGCAAUGAUACGUAGCCGACCUGAGAGGGUAAUCGGCCACAUUGGGACUGAGACACGGCCCAAACUCCUACGGGAGGCAGCAGUAGGGAAUCUUCCACAAUGGACGAAAGUCUGAUGGAGCAACGCCGCGUGAGUGAAGAAGGGUUUCGGCUCGUAAAACUCUGUUGUUAAAGAAGAACAUAUCUGAGAGUAACUGUUCAGGUAUUGACGGUAUUUAACCAGAAAGCCACGGCUAACUACGUGCCAGCAGNC
rnacentral:rRNA from 2 species